GAUGAACGCUGGCGGCGUGCCUAACACAUGCAAGUCGAACGAAGCACCUUACCUGAUUCUUCGGAUGAAAGUUUGGUGACUGAGUGGCGGACGGGUGAGUAACGCGUGGGUAACCUGCCCUGUACAGGGGGAUAACAGCUGGAAACGGCUGCUAAUACCGCAUAAGCGCACGAGGAGACAUCUCCUUGUGUGAAAAACUCCGGUGGUACAGGAUGGGCCCUCGUCUGAUUAGCGGGUUGGCAGGGUAACGGCCUACCAAGGCAACGAUCAGUAGCCGGUCUGAGAGGAUGAACGGCCACAUUGGAACUGAGACACGGUCCAAACUCCUACGGGAGGCAGCAGUGGGGAAUAUUGCACAAUGGGGGAAACCCUGAUGCAGCAACGCCGCGUGAGUGAAGAAGUAUUUCGGUAUGUAAAGCUCUAUCAGAAGGGAAGAUAAUGACGGUACCUGACUAAGAAGCUCCGGCUAAAUACGUG
rnacentral:rRNA from 1 species